rnacentral:lncRNA from 1 species
AUCAAAUCAAAUUCAAUCAAAAUUUCAAAAGAAUUAUGUAAAGAACACAAAGUAUUCUUAAAAAAUAUUUAAAAGAAUCAUAAAGAAAUAAUAUAGAAUUCAAAAAUAUACUAAAAUAGAAAUCUUAAUAAAAUAUUAAAAUGAAAACCUUAAUUAAAUCCUAGUCAAAUCCUAAAAAAAUCCUAAACAAUUCCUAAUCAAAUCUUAAAUAAACCAUAGUCAAAUCCUAAACAAAUCUUAACCGAAUUCUAGUCAAAUCUUAACAAAUUCUAACCAAAUCCUAAUCAAACUCUAAACAAAUCCUACUCAAAUCCUAACAAAUUCUAACCAAAUCUUAAUCAAAUUCUAACCAAAUCCUAAUCAAAUCCUAAAUAAAUCUUAAAUAAACCUUAAUAAAAUCCUAAUCAAAUCCUAAAUAAACCUUAAUCAAAUCCUAACCAAAUCUUAAUCAAAUCCUAACUAAACUCUAAACAAAUCCUAAACAAAUCUUAACCAAAUCCUAGUCAAAUCCUAAUCAAAUCCUAAAUAAACCUUAACCAAAACCUAAUCAAAUCUUAAAUAAAUCCUAAACAAAUCCUAAUCAAAUCCUAGUCAAA